CCUACGGGCGGCAGCAGUGGGGAAUAUUGCACAAUGGGGGAAACCCUGAUGCAGCGACGCCGCGUGAGUGAAGAAGGAUUUCGGUAUGUAAAGCUCUAUCAGCAGGGAAGAAAAUGACGGUACCUGAUUAAGAAGCCCCGGCUAACUACGUGCCAGCAGCCGCGGUAAUACGGAGGGGGCAAGCGUUAUCCGGAUUUACUGGGUGUAAAGGGAGCGUAGACGGCAGCACAAGUCUGGAGUGAAAUGCCGGGGCUUAACCCCGGAACUGCUUUGGAAACUGUGCAGCUAGAGUGCAGGAGAGGUAAGUGGAAUUCCUAGUGUAGCGGUGAAAUGCGUAGAUAUUAGGAGGAACACCAGUGGCGAAGGCGGCUUACUGGACUGUAACUGACGUUGAGGCUCGAAAGCGUGGGGAGCGAACGGGAUUAGAUACCCCUGUAGUC
rnacentral:rRNA from 1 species